GCUGGGCGUGGUGGUGGGCGCCUGUAGUCCCAGCUACUCAGGAGGCUGAGGCAGGAGAAUCGCUUGAACCCAGGAGGCAGAGGUUGCAGUGAGCUGAGAUCAUACCACUGCACUCCAGCCUGGGCAACAGAGCGAGACUCCGUCUCAU
rnacentral:SRP_RNA from 2 species